rnacentral:rRNA from 1 species
GACGAACGCUGCGGCGUGCUUAACACAUGCAAGUCGAACGGAAAGGCCCCUUUGGGGGUACUCGAGUGGCGAACGGGUGAGUAACACGUGAGUAACCUGCCCUUGACUUCGGGAUAACUUCAGGAAACUGGGGCUAAUACCGGAUAGGAAUCCUUGCUGCAUGGUGGGGGUUGGAAAGCUUCGGCGGUUUUGGAUGGACUCGCGGCUUAUCAGCUUGUUGGUGGGGUAGUGGCUUACCAAGGCUUUGACGGGUAGCCGGCCUGAGAGGGCGACCGGCCACAUUGGGACUGAGAUACGGCCCAGACUCCUACGGGAGGCAGCAGUGGGGAAUAUUGCACAAUGGGCGGAAGCCUGAUGCAGCAACGCCGCGUGCGGGAUGACGGCCUUCGGGUUGUAAACCGCUUUCAGCAGGGGCGAAGCUUGUGGUGACGGUACCUGCAGAAGAAGCACCGGCUAACUACGUG